CAGCUCACGGAGCCGGGGUUCCUGCUGCAGCAGCAUUCGGACCACAUGCUCCCCCAGGAAGCCACAGCCACCUGUGACCAGGUAUACCAGCUUCUGGGCCUGUGCCGAGUCUGCCAUGUCCUGCUAGGGAGAGACCCUGGGUGCCCAAACUAGCCACCAGAGCCGGUCUUCUCUCGUUUCCGGCCAGCGAUAAAUGGUUGUCCCCUUCCGCUUGCUCCUCCCUCCUGGCCAUUCCAGGAACAGACCAGCCCAGCCUCCACCCCUCCUCUCCUACUCUCUUGCCACAGGGCCCCCCCUGGUGGCCACUGCGCUCCACUGGCAUCCGGUUCCAGCCAAGAACUUGGGGAAGAGGGUCGGGAAAGCCAAAACCUGCUGGAUGGACACUGAGGGGCUUGGGGGAAGGGAUGGAAUAGGCAGAGUGACCUCACUCCUGCAUGUCAGUCCUUGCCUCAUACUGGAUUUCCCAGGAGGCCAGAAGCCCAGCAGCAGCUGUGGUUCUGGGAAUGGAGGCCUGACCUUGGCCAGGUCUGGCUGGCCUUGCUGGGGGAUUUCUAGGGGGCUGUGCCAGCCUAUCAGGUGGCCCAGAGCAAUGGUGGCUGUCUGCGGGUCUGGGUUCUUGCCCCAUAGCCCCUCUACCCACCCCAACCCCAGGCCACCCAUUUCCCCCUCUUCACUUGCCCCACCCUGUCCUCAACCCCCAUCCCACCCUACUCUCCCAAAGAUACUGACCAAGCACUUUUUGUACAAUAAAGUUUAAUCACAAUUAUAAAAAUGUGGCAUUGGGUUUGCGCUAUUAACAUAUGUACAAUCCAGCCCAACAGGAAGGGCCCGCUCCCCCCGCCAUCCUGGCCUGGCCCAACCAGAGCUUAGACACCAGGGUAGAAGGGUGACCCACAGGGUCUGGCAGGAACAGAAGAUGAGGCAGGGUUCCAGGCACGGAGUCCCCAGGACUGGGAGGCACAGGGCCCCCCUCCCCAGGGGGAGAACAUGGCCACUGCCCCUAGAGACCCCUAAACUGGGGAGGGGUGCACGCAGGGCACAGAAGGGAAGUCCCCAUGAACACAAAGCGAGAGGGCUGUGCAGCCCCGAGAACAGGAUCUAUACAGGCUGGCACCCCAGGUUUCCACAGGAAACAGCUCUGGCAGCUACAAAACAUUUACAGCUUCUUCUCCGCAAAGAAAAAAAUUAGGGGGUGGGCGGCAGGGGUGACAGGGGAGGCAGACACUGCCUUAAGGGACUGAGGCUCCCUUGCAGGGCUCAGGGGCCCAACUCCAUAUUCAGAGAUGGGGGCAUGUGGGCCCUCCUGAGCCCACUAAGGCUGGGGUGCUGGGAGCUCAGGGCACCAAGGGGAAUAAAUAGGGGGGUGGGCGCCCGUCUGCCCACCUCAGUUGAGGGAGCCCCGGCAGCUCUCGGUGCCGCACAGACACGGGAUCUUGUUGUCCUCCAGCGGAAACUUGUAGUCGUAGGUGAUCUCCUCGUCCACGCCGAUGGGCUGCUUGGAGUAAAUCACGAUCUUCUUCUGGGACUCGAUGGUGAUCACCUUGGCAUAGCAGUUGGGCUGCAGGAGGGAGCAGAGUGAGCUGGGUGCCCUCUGCUUGGACCCCACCGCCCUGGCCAGGCCCCAGCGCACCGUGCAGCAGUGGUUGAUGAACCUCGCCAGGUUGCCACACUUGGUAGCAUCGAUGAUGGUGUCGUGGUCCACCCGGAACAGGUAGCUGCUGCCAAUGCCCUCCUGCGCAUAGCGCUUCUCCCUCAUAUCGGCCACCAUCUGGUGGGAUGGGGCGCGACGGUCAGGGACUGCCCUUCGGGGGGUAGCCUCUGUGACUGGGGGUCUGCAGUCUCUCAGCUGCCAUCCUGGGGCCACAAUGACCUGUCCUGGGUCUGCAGCUCUCUCUCUGGCUCCCACUAACCCCACCUGUGGACACUCCUGACUUGGCUUCCAGGAGCCCUCCCUCUAGUGGCCAACCCUACACCUUCACUGCCAUUAUCAGCCACCCAAGAGGACCCCAGGGACAUGGGCACUGGCUGCUCCUGGAGUGUCUGCCUGGCCCCCAGUCUACCGUGGGGCUGUGGCACUUCCCAAGAUGAGUGGUCAUUUCACGGACUGAAUUCUACUCAUCUCUCCUCCCAGGACCCUCUCUCCAAAAAAGACUCCCACUGGCUGCUGCUGGUUGUCCACAUUAGGACCCAGAUUCUUGCAGGAGGAGCAACUGCUAUUUCCCAGAAAACGGGCGCCACAACCUCCGCGCCCUUCCCGUGGGUGGUCUCUCCCAGGGCUUCGGCGGCUGGCUCAGUGCGGGACUCCUCCCCAGCUUCCCUCUGCAGCCAGAGCCACCUCAGGGGAGCUGCUGGUGCCUCCUCUACAAGCUCCGAUCGGAACUCAUCUGAAUCACACAUCUGCUCCUCCUCACGCCCCACCUCACUGGCAGCCCUUCCUGCUCCCAGCUGUUAGAGGCAGCGCCCUGAGAAACGGCCUCACCGCCCCCCUUGCUCUCACUCUGCAGAGCCAACGGGGUUGCCUGUCUUGGACCCACAGACUCCUGCUACCUUGGCUGCCGCUGCGUAGCCCAGGAAGCCCACCUUUGACGGGGAUCUGCCACAGCCCCCACUCCCACCGCACUGCUGUCUCUAGUUCUCUCUCCACACUGCAGCCAGAGGGAGCCCACAACCUCCCAAGUCCUCUCCUGUUUAACACUUCACAGCAACUUUCCUCCUCUCUCACCAUCGGUCCAAACUCAUUCAUGUGGCUCCUAACUUCUGGGGAGCCUGGCCUCCCCUGCCCCGCCUGCUGUAUGUCCCUGCCUGACCCAAGUUUCCGAUCAGCCACAGCGCCCUCCUUGUGCCUCCCUCACCUGAGCCCGGGGAGUUCAACAUCCUUUAGGCUCCCGGUGUAAACAUCACUGUGUUCCAACCACCCAGUCUCUCCGAACUUCCCCUUUUGUAACAAGCAAACGCCAUCCUUUACUGUAGUUACUUGUUCAAUGCCUGUCUUCCCCACUAAACUGAGGUCCUUAAAGGGAGAGAUACUAUUA